rnacentral:rRNA from 1 species
AUGCAAUUUCUCCAUGAAGCUCUAAGUUUUCGUCUCUCACCACGAUCCUUGAGUACUGUGGAGCAGCUUCUUCAUCCAGCCUCUUGUUUUCGUCUUCAGCAGGACUACAAGGCGAAUUGCUACAUAAACAGCAGAGAGAGAGCAUGGGGACGGCCUGCCCCACAUCCCAUGAGGCUGGGGUCAACAGAAAUUCCAAACUUAAGCUGCGGUCGGAGAUCUAUGAUUCUUCUUCAUCGAAAGAAGAAACACCUUUUCUGUCAUCCAUGUCUACAUACAUGCAUGCCUGCAAAAGGAAACAUAAUCUCUGCAUUGUGUUACAUUCAGGAGCAUGCAUUUUAUCCCAGUUUUGUACUUCUGAAUUUUUUUAAUUUUAAAUCAAGGGAUGUAAUUGCAAAUGUUGAACUCCCAAGUAGAAAAUAG